UUUUCUUUUUCUUUCUUUCUUUUGUUCAGUCCCUUUUUUUUCACUUUAUUUUUUUUACAAAUAUAUUUUUCCUUUCAAAUAGUAAUAUUCAUUCAGAUGUCAUAUGAAUACAUUAUGAGAUGAUGAAUAUUCAUGUAUGAACAUGCAUUGCCUAAAUUCCAAGACAACAUUUUACUAUGCGAGACAGAAAUUAUACUGAUAUCUUCCAGAUUGCAUUUCUUCUAACAUUGUUUACAGUUUAGUUCACGGAAAAAAAAACAAAAAAAACUGUGUAAUAGUUCAUUAGUGUAAUUCUUAUGGCUUUUCCAUUUCAGGAUAAAAUAGGUGGGAUGCAGAACCUUGUUAUAAAGUCCUAAGAGAAAUUAGUACAAAAUGCCCUAAAUCAAUUUACAAUUUCUCUUUUUAAAGCCAACAAGUUCAUUAACAUAGUAUAACAGCACCAUUUUGUAGAUAUAAGAGAUAAUGCACGCAUAAAUGUUAGGGUUUCUUGCUUUGGCAGCAAAGGAAUAAAGGCUAAUGUUUGUAGGCUGAGAUAUGUUUAUGUGUUUUGUUCAGUAUGAAUAUUCAACAAAUAAUUACAUGUACAAUAGCACAGGUAGAUAUUCCAUGUAUUCUAAAGACAAAUUCAUGCUGUAUUUUUUACUUAAUUAUUAAAUUCUUUUCACUUAUGCAUUUAGAUUUAAAUGUCUCUAUUUUUCUUUCAAACCUGGCAGGUUUUGAAGGCUAAUUUAUCCAUCCUGUCUGAAUCAUUUGUGAAGCAGAUUAAAUGAAAGAGAGUAUUUUCUUCAUUAUGUUUUUAUAUGUUCUUCACAAACUCAAACUCGUAAAUAAUACUCGUGAUGAAAAUUUAUGCAUCUGAUGGGUAGAGAAUAAAAUUAACAAAAGGAAUUUACAUAUGUGCCUUGUUUAAAAUACUCUUUUUUUUCCAUAAAAUCUGAACUCUUAUUAACAGGUUCGGUUUGUUACCUGCCAUUAUUAUUGAUUAAAUUCCAACUCUUCAGUAACUCAGGAUAAAUCAAGUAUAUUAUCCCACACAGUCAAUUAAUAAUGCAUUGACACAGAAUAACAGUAACAUCCAUUCAAGAUAUAUUUUGAACAGGUACGUAUAUUUAUAAAUUUUUUCUGUAAUGUAAGUAUAUACUGAAUUUCUUUAGGGUUUUGUGUCCAACCACGGUUAAUAUAGUUUGUGGGGAGUAACUCCUUGGUUUCAUGUUAAACUAAUUGUAAUUUAAGGUGAAAAUCACAAAUUUGAAAUACAUUUGUAAAUGCAGGAAU